CCUUAGUAACGGCGAGUGAAGCGGCAAAAGCUCAAAUUUGAAAUCUGGUACCUUCGGUGCCCGAGUUGUAAUUUGGAGAGGGCAACUUUGGGGCCGUUCCUUGUCUAUGUUCCUUGGAACAGGACGUCAUAGAGGGUGAGAAUCCCGUGUGGCGAGGAGUGCGGUUCUUUGUAAAGUGCCUUCGAAGAGUCGAGUUGUUUGGGAAUGCAGCUCUAAGUGGGUGGUAAAUUCCAUCUAAAGCUAAAUAUUGGCGAGAGACCGAUAGCGAACAAGUACAGUGAUGGAAAGAUGAAAAGAACUUUGAAAAGAGAGUGAAAAAGUACGUGAAAUUGUUGAAAGGGAAGGGCAUUUGAUCAGACAUGGUGUUUUGUGCCCUCUGCUCCUUGUGGGUAGGGGAAUCUCGCAUUUCACUGGGCCAGCAUCAGUUUUGGUGGCAGGAUAAAUCCAUAGGAAUGUAGCUUGCCUCGGUAAGUAUUAUAGCCUGUGGGAAUACUGCCAGCUGGGACUGAGGACUGCGACGUAAGUCAA
rnacentral:rRNA from 1 species